rnacentral:rRNA from 1 species
AUUGAACGCUGGCGGCGGGCCUAACACAUGCAAGUCGAGCGAGAGGCGGACGGGUGGGUAAUGUAGGAGGAUCUGCCCGAUCGAGGGGGAUAACUAGUGUAAACGUUGGCUACAACCGCAUACUAUCGGAUGAGCCCAUAUGGGAUUAGCUAGUAGGUGGGGUAAAGGCUCACCUAGGCGACGAGGCCUAGCUGGUCUGAGAGGAUGAUCAGCCACACUGGGACUGAGACACGGCCCAGACUCCUACGGGAGGCAGCAGUGGGGAAUAUUGCGCAAUGGGCGAAAGCCUGAUGGAGCCACGCCGCGUGAAUGAAGAAGGCCUUAGGGUUGUAAAGUACUUUCGGUGGGGAGGCGUUACCCGCAGAGGAAGCACCGGCUAACUCCGUGCCAGCAGCCGCGGUAAUUC